rnacentral:piRNA from 2 species
GGGACUGCGUUCGCGCUCUCCCCUG